rnacentral:rRNA from 1 species
UGCAAGUCGAACGGCAGCGCGGGGCAACCUGGCGGCGAGUGGCGAACGGGUGAGUAAUAUAUCGGAACGUACCCUGGAGUGGGGGAUAACGUAGCGAAAGCUACGCUAAUACCGCAUACGAUCUAAGGAUGAAAGUGGGGGAUCGCAAGACCUCAUGCUCCUGGAGCGGCCGAUAUCUGAUUAGCUAGUUGGUAGGGUAAAAGCCUACCAAGGCAUCGAUCAGUAGCUGGUCUGAGAGGACGACCAGCCACACUGGAACUGAGACACGGUCCAGACUCCUACGGGAGGCAGCAGUGGGGAAUUUUGGACAAUGGGCGCAAGCCUGAUCCAGCAAUGCCGCGUGAGUGAAGAAGGCCUUCGGGUUGUAAAGCUCUUUUGUCAGGGAAGAAAAGGCUGUGGCUAAUAUCUACGGCUCAUGACGGUACCUGAAGAAUAAGCACCGGCUAACUACGUGCCAGCAGCCGCGGUAAUACGUAGGGUGCAAGCGUUAAUCGGAAUUACUGGGCGUAAAGCGUGCGCAGGCGGUUUUGUAAGACUGUCGUGAAAUCCCCGGGCUCAACCUGGGAAUGGCGAUGGUGACUGCAAGGCUAGAGUUUGGCAGAGGGGGGUAGAAUUCCACGUGUAGCAGUGAAAUGCGUAGAUAUGUGGAGGAACACCGAUUGCGAAGGCAGCUUACUAUGGUCUUAUUGACGCUGAGGCACGAAAGCGUGGGGAUCAAACAGGAUUAGAUACCCUGGUAGUCCACGCCCUAAACGAUGAACACUCGCUGUUGGCGAUACACAGUCAGCGGCUAAGCGAAAGCGUUAA